UUUAAUCGAGAGUUUGAUCCUGGCUCAGGAUGAACGCUGGCGGCGUGCUUAACACAUGCAAGUCGAACGAAGCGCUUAAGAUUGAUUCUUCGGAUGACGUCUUUUGCGACUUAGUGGCGGACGGGUGAGUAACGCGUGGGUAACCUGCCUCACACAGGGGGAUAAC
rnacentral:rRNA from 1 species